CUUANCAUGCAGUCGACGAUGACCACUUCGGUGGGGAUUAGUGGCGAACGGGUGAGUAACACGUGGGCAAUCUGGCACUCUGGGACAAGCCCUGGAAACGGGGUCUAAUACCGGAUAUUGACCUUCACGGGCAUCUGUGAGGUUCGAAAGCUCCGGCGGUGCAGGAUGAGCCCGCGGCCUAUCAGCUUGUUGGUGAGGUAAUGGCUCACCAAGGCGACGACGGGUAGCCGGCCUGAGAGGGCCGGCCACACUGGGACUGAGACACGGCCCAGACUCCUACGGGAGGCAGCAGUGGGGAAUAUUGCACAAUGGGCGAAAGCCUGAUGCAGCGACGCCGCGUGAGGGAUGACGGCCUUCGGGUUGUAAACCUCUUUCAGCAGGGAAGAAGCGAAAGUGACGGUACCUGCAGAACGCCGGCUAACUACGUGCCAGCAGCCGCGGUAAUACGUAGGGCGCAAGCGUUGUCCGGAAUUAUUGGGCGUAAAGAGCUCGUAGGCGGCUUGUCACGUCGGUUGUGAAAGCCCGGGGCUUAACCCCGGGUCUGCAGUCGAUACGGGCAGGCUAGAGUUCGGUAGAGAUCGGAAUUCCUGGUGUAGCGGUGAAAUGCGCAGAUAUCAGGAGGAACACCGGUGGCGAANGGCGGAUCUCUGGGCCGAUACUGACGCUGAGGAGCGAAAGCGUGGGGAGCGAACAGGAUUAGAUACCCUGGUAGUCCACGCCGUAAACGGUGGGCACUAGGUGGCAACAUUCCACGUUGUCCGUGCCGCA
rnacentral:rRNA from 1 species